rnacentral:rRNA from 1 species
GACGAACGCUGGCGGCGUGCUUAACACAUGCAAGUCGAACGGAAAGGCCCUGCUUUUGUGGGGUGCUCGAGUGGCGAACGGGUGAGUAACACGUGAGUAACCUGCCCUUGACUUUGGGAUAACUUCAGGAAACUGGGGCUAAUACCGGAUAGGAGCUCCUGCUGCAUGGUGGGGGUUGGAAAGUUUCGGCGGUUGGGGAUGGACUCGCGGCUUAUCAGCUUGUUGGUGGGGUAGUGGCUUACCAAGGCCUUGACGGGUAGCCGGCCUGAGAGGGUGACCGGCCACAUUGGGACUGAGAUACGGCCCAGACUCCUACGGGAGGCAGCAGUGGGGAAUAUUGCACAAUGGGCGGAAGCCUGAUGCAGCAACGCCGCGUGCGGGAUGACGGCCUUCGGGUUGUAAACCGCUUUCGCCUGUGACGAAGCGUGAGUGACGGUAAUGGGUAAAGAAGCACCGGCUAACUACGUGCCAGCAGCCGCGGUGAUACGUAGGGUGCGAGCGUUGUCCGGAUUUAUUGGGCGUAAAGGGCUCGUAGGUGGUUGAUCGCGUCGGAAGUGUAAUCUUGGGGCUUAACCCUGAGCGUGCUUUCGAUACGGGUUGACUUGAGGAAGGUAGGGGAGAAUGGAAUUCCUGGUGGAGCGGUGGAAUGCGCAGAUAUCAGGAGGAACACCAGUGGCGAAGGCGGUUCUCUGGGCCUUUCCUGACGCUGAGGAGCGAAAGCGUGGGGAGCGAACAGGCUUAGAUACCCUGGUAGUCCACGCUGUAAACGGUGGGUACUAGGUGUGGGGUCCAUUCCACGGGUUCCGUGCCGUAGCUAACGCUUUAAGUACCCCGCCUGGGGAGUACGGCCGCAAGGCUAAAACUCAAAGGAAUUGACGGGGCCCCGCACAAGCGGCGGAGCAUGCGGAUUAAUUCGAUGCAACGCGUAGAACCUUACCUGGGUUUAACAUGGAUCGGGAGCGCUCAGAGAUGGGUGUGCCUCUUUUGGGGUCGGUUCACAGGUGGUGCAUGGCUGUCGUCAGCUCGUGUCGUGAGAUGUUGGGUUAAGUCCCGCAACGAGCGCAACCCUUGUUCACUGUUGCCAGCACGUUAUGGUGGGGACUCAGUGGAGACCGCCGGGGUCAACUCGGAGGAAGGUGGGGAUGACGUCAAGUCAUCAUGCCCCUUAUGUCCAGGGCUUCACGCAUGCUACAAUGGCUGGUACAGAGAGUGGCGAGCCUGUGAGGGUGAGCGAAUCUCGGAAAGCCGGUCUCAGUUCGGAUUGGGGUCUGCAACUCGACCUCAUGAAGUCGGAGUCGCUAGUAAUCGCAGAUCAGCAACGCUGCGGUGAAUACGUUCCCGGG